ensembl:lncRNA
UAGGAGCUUAAUUUUUCCAAAACUACAAAUGGCCAAGACAGGAAAAUCAGUGAAAAUCUAUGAAUACACCAUGAUGAAAUCUGCAUCAGGGAGUUCUCUUACCUUUAAAACCAAAAAACCACGUUGUUCUCCAAGGCCACAGAGCUUGUAAGAGAGGCCUUUGAAAGCCAGUCUCCCAGCUUCCAUUGUGUGACUCAUAGCUCCCAAGAAAGAUGUCCUGCAGUGUAUGUAGAAGAGUAAACCGAACUCAGCAGAGAUGCUUAUCAUUAUCCAUAAGAUUUGGUCGGGGGACAUAGUUAGUAGGUAAAGGGACAACAAGCCAUGGGAAAGAACAGGAACCCAGUCACUCACUGUCCUGAGAUUUUUGUAACAAUUAGACCCAUUCAGAUCUGUUGUAAAGAUUCAGGAUUUUUAUGUAUUGAUUUUUUUAAGUUUUUCAAAGCUAAUUUUUUUUAAGUUAACAUAGAAAUUUAAUCCAAUAAUAAUGAUGACUUUUGAAAGCAUCAGUUCUUUGGUGCUUAACCUUGUUAUGAUCCAACUCUCACAUCUGUACCUGACUACUGGAAAAACCAUAGCUUUGACUAUACGGACCUUGUUGGCAAAGUAAUGUUUCUGCUUUUUAAUACACUGUCUAGGUUUGUCAUAGCUUUCCUGUGAAGGAGAAAAUGUCUUCUAACUUUAUGACUGCAGUUACCAUCCACAGUGAUUUUUGGAGCCCAGGAAAAUAAACCUAUCACUGUUUCCACUUUUCCCCAUCUAUUUGCUGUGAAGUGCUGGGACCAGAUGCUGUGAUCUUAGUUUUUGAAUGUUGAGUUUCAAGCCAGCUUUUUCACUCUCCUCUUUCACCCUUAUCAAGAGGCUCUUUAAUUCCUCUUUGCUUUCUACCAUGAGGGUGGGAUCAUUUACAUAUUUGAGAUUAUUGGUAUUUUUCCCAGCAAUCUUGAUUUCAGCUUGUACUUUAUGCAGCCUGGCAUUUCACAUGACGUACUCUGUAUAUAAGUUAAAUAAGCAAGGUGACAAUAUACAGCCUUGACCUACUCUUCCCAGUUUUGAACCAGUCCGUUGCUCUGUGUCUGAUUCUAAAUAUUGCUUCUUGACCUGCAUACACGUUUCUCAAAGGCAGGUAAGGUGGUCUGGUAUUCCCAUCUUUUGAAGAAUUUUCCACAGUUUGUUGUGAUCCAUACAUUCGUAGGCUUUCAUGUAGUCAGUGAAGCAGAUGUUUUAUUGAUUACCAUGUCAGAAAAAUUCCCUUUGCUUUGUGAGAGCACAGUAAUUGAAUAUAUAUCAUUGUUUGCUUUGUUUUGUUGUAACACUGUGUAAUACAUUUAAUGGUGUGGUUGUAAGUUCACUUUAUUUUGAUAAUUGAGUUUUAAUAGCCAAAAAAGGUAAUUCAUAAAGAGGAAUUGAUGCAAAUAGAAGAAUGACAUCAUUGGCUGCACUUAGUAAAUCAAAAUAUAUAUAUUUUCAAUUGUAUUCACCAACAAUGCCAAAGUUUUUGUUUCAGUUCAGCUAGUAAUUGUUAUUUUUCCCAUGUUAUUUUUCCCACUC